GAUAAACGCUGGCGGCGCGCUUAACACAUGCAAGUCGAGCGAAGCGGCGGACGGGUGAGUAACACGUGAGUAACCUGCCUUAGACAUUGGGAUAGCCUCGGGAAACCGGGAUUAAUACAAAAUGGUCUAAGAUGGACUCGCGUCCCAUUAGCUAGUUGGUGAGGUAACGGCCCACCACGGCGACGAUGGGUAGCCGGCCUGAGAGGGUGAACCGCCACAUGGAAACUGAGAAACGGUCCAAACUCUACGGGAGGCAGCAGUGGGGAAUAUUGCACAAUGGAGGGAACGCUGAUGCAGCGACGCCGCGUGAACGAAGAAGGCUUUCGAGUCGUAAAGUUCUUUUAUAUGGGAAGCGGUACCAUAAGAAAAAGCCCCGGCUAACUACGUGCCAGCAGCCGCGGUAAUUC
rnacentral:rRNA from 1 species